rnacentral:rRNA from 1 species
AGCUCCAAGAGCAUAUAUUAAAGUUGUUGCAGUUAAAAAGCUCGUAGUUGGAUUUCUGGUACAAUGCGCCUGGCCCGCGGCUAUUUAAGCCUGUGAGUGCCGGUGUGCGUUUGCCAUCCUUCUAGAAAACGUUUCUACCCUUCACUGGGCUGGACUCGCGAUCUAGAUCUUUUACUUUGAAAAAAUUAGAGUGUUUAAAGCAGGCUUUUGCUAUGAAUACAUUAGCAUGGAAUAAUAAUCUAGGACUUCGGUUCUAUUUUGUUGGUUUCUAGUACUGAAGUAAUGAUUGAUAGGGAUAGUUGGGGGUGCUAGUAUUGGCCGGCCAGAGGUGAAAUUCUUGGAUUCGGUCAAGACUAACUUAUGCGAAAGCAUUCACCAAGGAUGUCUUCU